CGAUAAAAGUCAUGAGUAAACACAGUUUUUUGUGCUUGCACGAUAAAAACUGUGUUUAUGAAAGGACUGAACGUACAUGAGGAAAAAAGACAUGCGAACGUAGAGAGCAGGUCGAUUUCCGAAUGUACGUAGGAUUGCGAGAGCACGAAGUGCGAAGCAAUCCGUCCUUAUCG
rnacentral:sRNA from 1 species